UACGGGGGGGGCAAGCGUUGUUCGGAAUUACUGGGCGUAAAGGGCUUGUAGGUGGCCAACUAAGUCCGACGUGAAAUCCCUAGGCUUAACCUAGGAACUGCGUCGGAUACUGGAUGGCUUGAAUCCGGGAGAGGGAUGCGGAAUUCCAGGUGUAGCGGUGAAAUGCGUAGAUAUCUGGAGGAACACCGGUGGCGAAGGCGGCAGCCUGGACCGGUAUUGACACUGAAAAGCGAAAGCCAGGGGAGCAAACGGG
rnacentral:rRNA from 1 species